rnacentral:rRNA from 1 species
CCCUGCCUUUUGUACACACCGCCCGUCGCUAGUACCGAUUGAAUGGCUUAGUGAGACCUCCGGAUCAGCGGUUGUUGGAUGGCAACAUCUGAUAACUGCAGAGAAGCUGGUCAAACUUGGUCAUUUAGAGGAACUAAAAGUCGUAACAAGGU